rnacentral:lncRNA from 1 species
AUGGGAGUUACCAACACAGUGUUUCCUAUUAUCCACAGCAGACUGCUCUGCUUCCCAGUGAGAAGGCACCACAGAGAGGUGGGGAAAUCUGCCGAGGAGCCAUGGCACAGCCUGUACCAUAACAUCACACUGGAUGCAAAAAGGCCGGAGCAGAGUGCAGGGCGAGGUAAAUGUGCGACCUGCAGCUGGAAAGAGCAAAUAAACAGGAGAACAGGGGUAAUGCUAAGGGCUGGGAAGGGGCUGGGUGGGGUUGAAGGCAGAAGCACUCUAAAGCCCAUGAAUUCUUCUGCAGAGACCCAUCAGAGGAAAGCUCUGCCCCCUGUCACCCACAGCAUGAUGUGCUGCCAGCUGCCCCACGAAGCUGCACGCCUCUGCUCACGCUCACAAAAUGCAUCCAGCGCUGUUCUGCGCAGGAAUUUACUGACGUCAGCAGUUCAUGGAAAGCCACCAGAUAUUAAAAAAAAGGUACUGGGAUUAAAAAAAAAAUACACGUAAAAAACGUAAAAUAUUAAUAGCGGCACUGACUUUUAAAAGCCUUGACAUAAGUAGAAAAUAGAGCUAGCCACAUUUCAUAAAUGUUUAAAGGAUGGAUGGUAUUCCGUGGCAAAAUGCUGUUCUCUGUGACAAGCAUGGAGGGAGCAUCUAGGGGCAGAGGGACUCAAUGACAUACAUUUGUCUUCUUGUGUAUUUUGGAACACGAUUUAUUCGUGUUCACUGAAAUGACAGCUUUUCUGGUAAUUUCUUCCUUUCCCAGAAAAAAGCCUUAAUCUCCUUACUGGAAAUUGUACUAUUUAUGCAGCAAAUCCUGCCUCUGAAAUUGCUUGAGAUCACAAGUUAUGUAACGUAAACAGAUGGAGUUAGACCAUUUUUUUUUUGUAUGUCAAUUCAUAUUAUAAUCUGAGCAGCCUAUGAUCGUUUAUCAGCUCAUUUGCAGUGCAGAGAAAUAGAUGGAGGAGUUUAACUAUGCAGUUAAUAUAUGCUCGCAUAGGAAUGCUUACACUCGCAACCAUCACUAAAAAGCAAUAAUAAUAAUGCUUAUUAAGGAUUUUCUUCAUUCUUAUGGACAGAAAAGCUCUGUGUGCCACAAAGUGCAUUUAUCAUGACCAUCAUCCCACAAAGACAUACACAUGACUUUACUUACACAGCGGAUAGAUACAGUUAUCUGCAGCUCUGGUGUGAAGUUACAUCUCUGAGAGUGUCAGUGAGAUCGAACAGAUGAAUGAGGGGCAGGAGGAGCUGGAGAGAAGCAGGCAGAGUGAGAAUCCUGAUGAAUGCUGCCCGCUUCGACCCUUCAGCAGCAUUAAGCAUUAAGUGAUGGAUCAUCCAUCCAGCUCCCACUGGCCUCGUGCAUUCCCUGUAGAAGUCAACAUACAACAUACAAUACCCAGUUUUAAAAUUCACAUUAGCCUAACAGUUCUUCUGCUAACGCUCAUGAGCAGGCAGAUAAAAUCCUGAAGGGCUCAAUUACGCUUGUGUAGAUUUUAUCUUUUUUUUUUGUUACUCGUGUGGAUUUUUUUGUUUCAUGUGAGUUUAAGCUAAAGUGAAUCCAGGCUACAGGGAAUUAAAUGGAAAAAGAGGAUGAAAAGGGAUGGAAGGGAAAGCUGGUAAACAGAGGUUUUUCCAAAAUAAGAUAACAAUGCAUGGUCUCUCUAAGUGUAUUUAAAACUAUGGGGGCUCAGUCAGACAUGUUUGGGGAAGGGAAGAAAAGAGAAAACAUUGAGCACAAAUCUGAUUUUCUAACAAGCCAAAGUUCAACCAGGGCUAAAAAGCCACCAAACCUAAAUAUAGUUUCAGUCCAACCACAUUUUAUACUUAUAUUCCAUUCUGUGGGAAUUCCCUAUAUGACACACUUGCAUAUUUGGGACCAAACUGCAAUCUAAGUCUCAACUCACAGUGAGCAGCUUUGCAAGGAGAGAGCUUUCAAGAAAAUCUCAGAAAACCGAAAGAGAACUCCUGCCAUGAUACAGCAUUUUCUGCAAAAGCAAAACCAUAACGCAGCUGUGGGUGCAGUUUUUCUUCUGGGACAAUCGCUUGCAAAUGGGGCAGAGGAUUCCAAGAUGUCCUAUGGAUGUGCUGGGAUGAUGGCAGCUCAGGUUUAAUUGCAAAGCAAAACCUUCCAUUCUGAUUCCAUUAUGGGUUCUGAAUUCCUUCACCUCCUCAAACUUCAAUUUUUCCAAAUGUAUUUAAGACUGCAGAGAGAACAACAGAUUUUAAUGAAUCAUCAAGUGAUUCAAGUUGUCGCAAAGAUGAACUGAUGGUAGAAGAAGUAAAACAUUUCAAAGUCAGCCCCAGUUUUAGUAAGGAAACAGUUUCUUGACCACGAUGCUAUACAGCAUCUCAGAGUCACAGAAUCACAGAAUCAUAGAAUCACAGAACUUUGGGUUGGAAUGGACCUUAAAGCCCCCCCGGCUCCACUCCUGCCAUGGUCUGGGUGCCCCCACCAGCUCAGGUUGCCCAGGGCCCCAUCCAAGCUGGCCAUUGGGCAUCUCCAGGGAUGGGGCACCCCCAGCUCUGGGCAGCAGUGCCAGGGCCUCCUUUCUUCUGGGUCAGAGACUUCACAUACCUGGUACUGCUAAUGUGAGAAAAAUUAUAAGGGGUUUACAAUUCAUUCUGGAUGUUGGCUGGUGAUUAAUUGAGCCCAAUGCUCUUCUGUUAGAAACAACUGCAGAGAGCCCCUUUUUUUCUUUUUUCACAAGAAAAGAAACAAGCCUAUGCUCCUGCUUGUAAAUACAUUGAAAUGUUCAGCUGAACAUUUAAGCUCAAGCUUAUAAUGUGUGCUUUCUUUAGAAUAGCUUGUCCCUGGAUGAUGUAAUUUGCUUGACUGGGUAUUUGCUACUCUUGCACAACUGUGUUAGUCAACCUAAGCAGAUUAAUCUGAGCACCAGCCUGGCACAUAGUUUGCCAAAUGGUUAUUCAGUGCCUUGCAAAAAAGGCUUUUUAUUUCAGUUUCCCUGUGCCCAAGAUGACUCUCAGAUGGAUGUCAGUCUGUUUGUGUGUAAGUAGGUCUCACAGCCCCGAGCACUCGCUGACUGGGCUGAGCCAGAUGUGGUACGAGCAAUUACCUAACAGAAGCAGUGCUAGGAGGAGAAAAACACUGUUUUCCUCUGUUUCUCCCUUAGGGCAGCACUGCAGCCCUGGCUGUGCUGACAAGUCACUGCCCAAAACUCCAGCUCACCAAAUCUCUUUAUUUUAGCAUUUGCGGAGGACUAGGGGGAAAAAAAAGAGGGGGAGAGGAGAAAAAAGGAGGCUUAUUUUUACUGGAAAUGAUUCUCAGCCAUGGGAAAUGGGACAGACUGAUCACCUUCAGAAAACAUCUCUUGCUUCAACCUAAAGCCCAGGCUGCAGAAGGCAGCGCCUGUUUGUAAGGCGCUCCAAAACGCUUCAGCACUGCUCCGUCCGCCUGCCCUCGGGGGAGAGAUAAUUAAGGCCGUGCUGUCUGAAUCAUUGAUUUUUUGGUUCACUGAUCAAAAACUUGUUUAAAAUCAAUUUGAAAUGAAAAUUUCACUCUUCUUUUGUUGUUGGGGUUUGGGGGAAGCAGAUGUUUUCCUUUCUUUUUGCUCGGAAUUAUUAAUGUAAUUCGGACAAUAAUAUUUACAGGAAAAAAAAACUGUUGUCAUUGGGACUAAGGUUAUUUCAGGAAAAAAUGAUCACUGUGCUGUAGGAGUUUGGUACUACUUCUAAAAAGCACUUCCUAAAUUCAGCACGGGUGACUCUGAAACUGCGUGGUCCUACAGUGACAUUUCUGCCUGGAUUUCUGAUGAUCUCAGUGUGCAACUCCUUGAUAUUUCUUCAUAUCGAAGGCUUUGAUCUGGCACAUCCAAUCACAUCUCCCUCUUGUGGCUACUUCCAAGGAUUAAAACAACCUGCUGUUAAUUCAGCAUUGUAUGGGAUUAUUUGGAUUGCUUUUUUGACUCACACACAGUUUUCCAGCUCAAAGACAGCAGAUGACAGUAAGGAGACAUUCGACGGGCCACAGCACAAU